rnacentral:rRNA from 1 species
UUUAACUGAAGAGUUUGAUCAUGGCUCAGAUUGAAUGCUGGCGGCAGGCUUAACACAUGCAAGUCGAGCGGGGGAAGGU